AACCUAGCACACCUGCGGUGUGUACCUGCGGAGGGAUCAUUGCUGGAACGCGCUUCGGCGCACCCAGAAACCCUUUGUGAACUUAUACCUAUUUGUUGCCUCGGCGUAGGCCGGCCUCUUCACUGAGGCCCCCUGGAAACAGGGAGCAGCCCGCCGGCGGCCAACUAAACUCUUGUUUCUAUAGUGAAUCUCUGAGUAAAAACAUAAAUGAAUCAAAACUUUCAACAAUGGAUCUCAGAU
rnacentral:misc_RNA from 1 species